rnacentral:rRNA from 1 species
GGGGAGCAAACAGGAUUAGAUACCCUGGUAGUCCACGCCGUAAACGAUGUCGACUUGGAGGUUGUGCCCUUGAGGCGUGGCUUCCGGAGCUAACGCGUUAAGUCGACCGCCUGGGGAGUACGGCCGCAAGGUUAAAACUCAAAUGAAUUGACGGGGGCCCGCACAAGCGGUGGAGCAUGUGGUUUAAUUCGAUGCAACGCGAAGAACCUUACCUACUCUUGACAUCCAGAGAACUUAGCAGAGAUGCUUUGGUGCCUUCGGGAACUCUGAGACAGGUGCUGCAUGGCUGUCGUCAGCUCGUGUUGUGAAAUGUUGGGUUAAGUCCCGCAACGAGCGCAACCCUUAUCCUUUGUUGCCAGCGGUUAGGCCGGGAACUCAAAGGAGACUGCCAGUGAUAAACUGGAGGAAGGUGGGGAUGACGUCAAGUCAUCAUGGCCCUUACGAGUAGGGCUACACACGUGCUACAAUGGCAUAUACAAAGAGAGGCGACCUCGCGAGAGCAAGCGGACCUCAUAAAGUAUGUCGUAGUCCGGAUUGGAGUCUGCAACUCGACUCCAUGAAGUCGGAAUCGCUAGUAAUCGUGGAUCAGAAUGCCACGGUGAAUACGUUCCCGGGCCUUGUACACACCGCCCGUCACACCAUGGGAGUGGGUUGCAAAAGAAGUAGGUAGCUUAACCUUCGGGAGGGCGCUUACCACUUUGUGAUUCAUGACUGGGGUGAAGUCGUAAAA